UGUGGAGCUGACAUGUGAUCCAAGGAAGACAGGAUGCAUUCUGCCAACGUCCUCCAUAAGACAAGUCUUAUAAAAUAUAAAGAUUAGCAGUUAUGGUUGAUAAUUAAGACUGGGUUAGCAUAUAAGAAAUCCUAGUCAUUGGCCAGCAGCAUUAAUCUCUGUGUGUUAUUUUGGGCAACAGGGCUCGGGCAGCUGGCAGAAAGAUUUUAUUGUUAUAUUAGACCCUCAAAGCCAGUCCCUCAUUGGUAGAAAUGUAGGUCACUCCAUUAUCAGACUUCAGAAUAGAAAGUAAAUUCAAUGGUAAGCCAGAAAAGUCACCCAAAAACUAUUCAGAAUCCAUCAUUGAUACCAAUUACUUAUAUCUAUUUAUUAGUAUUUAACAGACAUUAAGUUUUAUAAUUCAUCUAGACCUGUUAAACUAAAUAUGCUUCAUUCAUAUGUGUUCAAUGUACUGAACAUCACAGGAAGUAAAAGCCAGAUAACAAAAACAGAUGCACCUACUCAGACAGAGACAUUGGUCAUCUGCAUAUUAUAAUAAUUUAGGCUCACAGGGACAAAGGUCACUUCAUGCUAAGAUAUAUUUCCUUAUUUUACUAUGAAAAAAUAGCUAUUUAAAAACCCAUGUAUAUAAGUUUGUUUAAUUAUUAUGUUGCUUAUGCUUGUGUUCAUGUAUCCAUGCAUAUAUGUGUAUACAUGCAUGUGAAGGCCUGAGGUAGACAUCAAGUAUCUUCUUCAAGUGUUCUCCACCUUAUGUUUCAAGACGCAGUCUUAGAAUGAGCCUCAAGCUCACAAUUUGGCAUGGAUGGCUGUGCAUCUGGCCUCAGCCUGAGAUUACAGGAACAUUCUAUAACACUCAGCUUCCUAAGUGCAUGCUAGGGAUCCAAGCUCAGGUCCUCAUGCUUAUACAUGGAGCAAUUUAACAGCAGAGCCUUCCCUACAGUUCAGAAGUUCUUACAAGCAUGAGGGAAGGUGCCUUCAUACCAAUGAGCCCCAUUAGGGUGUCCCCACAGUGGAAAGACUCUGGGGUUCUGUAAAUGAGAAUUCAGUUUAGUUUUUGGAUUUUGGACUUUUUUGUCUCCCCUUUCUCCCUCCCUCCCUCCCUCCCUUCCUUCUUUAAGACCAUGCUCAAACAUAGUUAAAAGCAAACAUGGCUAAGUGUCACAAGUUGAAAAGACUUUUACAAAUGCCUAAAACUGUAAUGUGCAAUUUGCCGAUGAAAAUCAUGUAGCAGAGAAAAUGCAUAACAAAAACAGAUAGAUGCCUCACCUUAAGGGAAAAGGACACAUUCAGUCCCCAAAGCAUUCACUCAGGUAUUUCUAGCAACUAAAGCCCCACAAACUUUUCAUAAAAUAUAUUAACAAGUUCAAUUUAAUUCUGCCUCCUUCUCUUAGUCCCACCCACACUGGACUAACUCUACUCAAGUUCUCUUCUUCUCUCCUAGAAUGUCCAGGACCUCGGAACUUCAGUUUCUAAGAGCUCUGUGUGAUGAUUCAGUGUUCAUUAGUGCAGUUCUCCUGCAUGCAAAGUCUUAUGAAAAAAUGCCUAUGGAGUCUCAAAGACGGUUUUGAUCAACAUGACCUUUUAAUCCAAAGACUGUUGACAUAACUUUCUGAUUGUUCCCUGUGUUCCUUCCCCAAUCAAUUCUUCAAAAUGCAGCCACUAGCUCUGUGCCUUCACUCCAACUAAUCUCUAUUCCAAGUGCAGUCUGUAGACCAGGAGCUUCUGGACCCUUGAGACUUGAUGGUGGUGCAUAUUCUGAGGACCAGUUCCAGCAGGCCUUUAUCAGAAAUGGCUUAUACAAGAUCUCCCAUGAUUUUGUGUGGAGAUUGAAAUCAACAGUCAUGCCCCUCAAUAACCUACCCUGUAGAUUUCUCAGGACAUUGGCCAUUUGCAAUGGCUAUAUUUAAAAUUUCUGUACUUAUUUAUUAAUUGUGAUUUUACAAAUGGUGAUAGGUAGUGUGGUGGUUUGAAUGAUAAUGGCCCCAUAGGCACAUAUGUUUGAAAUAUUAGUUUCUGUUGGGUGGAACUGUUUGGGAAAGUUAGGAGGUAUGGCCUUGUUGGAGGAGGUGUCACCAUGGUCAGGCACUGAGGUUUCCAAAGAUUGGUGUCAUUCCCAGUGUGCCUCUGGUUUUAGAUGUGAGUUCUCAGCUGUUCCUGCCAUCCUGCUUUUGCUCUACUAUCAUAGACUCUAACUCUCUAAAACUGGAACCCCAAUUAAACACUUUCUUUUGUUCAUUACUUUGAUCAUGGUGUUUUAUCACAGCAAUAGAAAAGUAAGUAACUAAGAAAAGGAACAAAAAAUACUACAAAGAUAAAUGAAUUAAUAAUUUCCCCACUGUUCUAUAUCUGUGUCCCGUUAAUUCCCAUGCAAAUUAUUUCCCUUCUACAGCUGCUCAGACCUCCACUUAGUGCCAAGUUCAGAUUUUAAACAUGCCCAUUGGAUACUUGCAGCUACAUAGAACCAUACCAAUUAAAAAAACAACUAUAGCUAAUUAUCUUCUGCCUUUACAAUACCUUUGCUAUCCUACUAUAAGUGAUAAAAUUGAUUGUACCCAUUAAAGAUAUUUCCAGGUGAGUUUACUAAUCACACUCAUCUGAUAAAUUCAAUUCUAAAAGCAUAUUAGAUUGGUCCCCAAAGCAUCCAACUCUUUGAAAUGAGAUACCACUACCCCCAAUCUGUACAGUGUCCUAUCUCAGCCUACUAUUUUUGCAGUAGCAUUUUGUUAUUGUACUUUAUUUUUUGUGGUGUGUAUGUAUGUACAUGUGUAUAUAUGUAUAUAUAUAUAUACAUAUAUAUAUAUAUAUAUAUAUAUAUAUAUCACAUACACACACAUAAGCACACACACAUACAACUUGUGUACGUGUGUGUGUGUGUGUGUGUGUGUGUGUGUGUGUGUGUGUGUGUGAGUUUGCAAGUAUACAAAGGCCAGAGAUGAACAGGUGUCUUCCUCUAUCUCUGUGCCUUACCCUUGAGACAGGGUCUCUCACAAAACCAGAAGCUCCUCAUUUUGACUAUACUGGCUGGCCAUCAAGCUCCCAGGAUUUACCUGUCUCUGCUUACUAAAGCUGGGGUUACAGGCAAGUGUAGCUUUGCCAAGGUAUUUGCUGGCUAUUAGGCAGUCAAACUCAGGUCCUCAUGCUUUCAAAGUAAGCAUACUUAUCCACUGAGCCAUCUCCCUAGCCCCAGAAAAUAUAUUUUAAUGUCCAUGUUUUUGACUGGGUGAGACCCUUAUAUUGGUAGCCUAAUAUGUAGAUUUAGCAAUAAACUAAAAAGUCAAAGACCUCUAAAUUCUAAUGAAUGUUACUGGGAACUCCAAUUUUCCAGAUUAUUUUGGAAGCAAUAAUUGGAGCUUAGGCCUUAAUUACAACAAAAUAUAUGAAUAAAUAUUUUUGCUACUUUACAGCCAUGCGAGCAUAUUCAUAUCCCUAGGUGGAUGUUUUGUUUACAUUAAUAUUAUUGCUACUUGUGUUUAAUUCCCAGAGACUGGGAAACCAGAUAUAUUUUACAGCUGGGAAGAUACUCAAUCGGAUUGAACAUUAGCCCACUCAGCACACUAGGUGCUUGCUCUUGAAUUUCAAAGGAGUUAAAAUUAUGCUUGAAAUGAAAGCUGAAUGCUACAUUAUCUCUUUUAUUCUGGUUUCAAAACAUAUAGGAAACAGGCUAGUGAAAGAGAAUGGUGAGCCAGACUGAUUUGGGGUUCAAGGAUAAGAAAAGCAUUGUCCCUGCCCACAGCACAAGCCAGAUGACUCAGUCAUUGAUAAGUGGAACAUUAAUCAGAUGAGAUGCCACAAAAAUGUUGCCUGGUUCCUGGCUUGCUGAUGGAGAGACUGACUGGACUCCCACCAUGCCUCCACACAGGGAAUCUGUCUCCUUGACUCCUAGAAGUCACCAGCUCCCUGGUCUUCUGCCUUUCUUGAUGCGGCUUCUCACACAAUAUCUCACUGAAGAAAUUCAUUAGCCUAACAGAACUAUAAUGGCAACUCUGUGAAGUGUUAGCAGUUGACACUGGAUCAUGGCAAGAAUGGUGGGAAGAAGAUGAGUGCCAGUUACAGUCAUCUGUGGGGCUCAGCCCCCAGUCCAUCCUCUUCCCUCAUCCACAGGAAAGGAGAUUCAUCCAAGUGCUGAAGAGGCUGCUACCAGAAAUCAUGUCUGAAUAUGGAAGAUCUGAGCAGUGCUGGGGAAGAAGACGGUCCUGGUACCUCCAUUUAAGAUCUUAAUGCACACAUAUCCUCCCAGUAAAACAUCCGGCUUCUGAGCUUUUUCUUUUUUGCCAUCACUCUAUGAUCCGGAGAACAAACAGGAUAUACUGAAGAUAUCUGUUGGAGUAAUUGUUGAGCUGCUACAUAGAUGUGAAAGCCAAAUGUCAACUGAGCAAGUUUGUGUUUGUCUUCACUCUUCAAGAACAGUCUAAGCUGAGAAGAGCCACCGGUCCAAGCUCAUGAUCAUCAGCGCUGACAACACCAAUAUGCUCUAUACCAUAAUAUAGCUGUCCAAUCCCUUCACCCAACUCAGAAUACCUCCAAAGGGUAAUGUCAGCAAGGCCAGCUAAUCUCUUGUCAUUAUGGCAUCACAGUCCAAC
rnacentral:lncRNA from 1 species